rnacentral:rRNA from 1 species
GGAGGUAGUGACGUGAAAUAACGAUGCGGGACUCUUCCGAGGCCUCGCAAUCGGAAUGAGUUAACUUUAAAUCCUUUCGACGAGGAUCGAUUGGAGGGCAAGUCUGGUGCCAGCAGCCGCGGUAAUUCCAGCUCCAAUAGCGUAUAUUAAAGUUGCUGCGGUUAAAAAGCUCGUAGUUCGAUCUCACGAUUCGGAAGGCGGAUAAAGCGCCGUCAGUGGAAGUAGAUCGUAAUAAUAAUAAUACUACUACUACUACUACUAGGUAACCUCGAAUAUCCACCUUCUCAUUCGCUUCGCUUUCGGUAGAAGAACUAUGAUACUAGUAGGAGGAAGGUGAAUGUUGAAGACUCGAACAGGAGGAGGAGGAGGAGGAGGACGAUGAUGGUACGAGUUGAUUUUCAGACGGUGGUGGCGGAGGCGGUCGUUGUUGCAUGCUGCUGCUGCUGCUGUAGGCUACUACUGCGGUGGUACGACAGUGGCAAAACGACCGUCGCCGCUGCCGCUUACACUACUUCGUUCAUCGUCGAUUCCCUCUUCGUUGCUUCGGCUUCUCCUCCCUCCCCAUUAUUCUUCUUUCCAACGGACGAAAAAGAGAAGGCGGUGCCGAGGCGUCCCGGCGCUAAAUGCUAAAGCCCGUCCUUUUCGAUGAAAAACAAUGGCCGGCCGGCCAGCGGCGUUAUAGUAGCCAGCAGAAGCGGCGGAAGCGGCAGUAGUAGUAGCCUCCCCGUAAAGAAGUGGUAAAAGGGUUUGUUGUCUUGUAAAAAUAAUAAUAACAACAAUACCUCUUCCACCUUCGAAGGUGCUGCUGCUGCUUUCUCACUUACUGACGCGCGCUCGCGUUCGGCCGGCAACUUCACUUUGACAAAAUUAGAGUGCUCAGAGCGGGCAAAAUCUGAAGCCCGAAUGGAGGUGCAUAGAAUGAUCUAAGAUGACCUCGCGAUCUAAACGUUUGUCGGUUUAUGGGGUCGCGAGGUAAUGAUUAAA